AAAAAAAUAUACAGAGAAGCAAAAUAACAGGAAAAAGAAAAUGAUGAACUUUCAGAAGAAAAAAAAUAGUUAACAAAAUUAAUCAUGAGGAUUUCUUCAGUUGUGAUUCUUCUUUUUCCUUUUUUUUUUUCUCGUUCUCUUUAUCUGUAUUCAUCUUGGAUUUUCGUUGGUAGCGUGAAGCUGAAUCAGUUCAAUCGACUAGAUUCAGUGAAGAAUUCUCCAUCAGCCACAUUAUAUAACUGCAUAUGUGCUUCUCUCAAACUCCUUCCAAUGAAUCUUUUUCUUUGUCUGCUAUAACUCAUAUUCUGCAAAACAAUAAUAAAAGAUUGAUCAUUUUAUAAUUGUGUUACAAUAAAACGUAUUGAAACAAACACAGAUUCCCCAUUUGAGAAUGACUUCUUAUCGUUACUUUUAUCACUUGCUAACGUAAAUGAAUAUAACUUGUUUUCAGGAAGAACUGAUAUGAAGAGAAUCAAAGUUAAUGUUUGUACAUUUAUACAUAAUUCAAAAACAACAAUGAAGCACAAACACAAUUAUAAGAUCCAAAUUAAAAGAAAAACUGUGAACUUAUCUUAGUCAAAGUGACAAAGGCAGAUCACCGUCUUGGUAUUGCUAGG
rnacentral:lncRNA from 1 species